AACGAACGCUGGCGGCAGGCUUAACACAUGCAAGUCGAACGCACCUUUCGGGGUGAGUGGCAGACGGGUGAGUAACGCGUGGGAAUCUACCCUUCUCUACGGGAUAGCUCCGGGAAACUGGAAUUAAUACCGUAUACGUCCUGAGGGGGAAAGAUUUAUCGGGGAAGGAUGAGCCCGCGUUGGAUUAGCUAGUUGGUGGGGUAAAGGCCUACCAAGGCGACGAUCCAUAGCUGGUCUAAGAGGAUGAUCAGCCACAUUGGGACUGAGACACGGCCCAAACUCCUACGGGAGGCAGCAGUGGGGAAUAUUGGACAAUGGGCGCAAGCCUGAUCCAGCCAUGCCGCGUGAGUGAUGAAGGCCCUAGGGUUGUAAAGCUCUUUCAGUGGGGACGAUAAUGACGGUACCCACAGAAGAAGCCCCGGCUAACUUCGUG
rnacentral:rRNA from 1 species